rnacentral:rRNA from 1 species
ACGAAGGGUGCAAGCGUUACUCGAAAUUACUGGGCGUAAAGCGUGCGUAGGUGGUUCGUUAAGUCUGAUGUGAAAGCCCCGGGCUCAACCUGGGAACGGCAUUGGAAACUGGCGACCUAGAGUGCGGUAGAGGGUGGCGGAAUUCCCGGUGUAGCAGUGAAAUGCGUAGAUAUCAGGAGGAACACCGAUAGCGAAGGCAGCUCGCUGGGACGGUACUGACGCUGAGGCGCGAAAGCGUGGGAAGCAAACAGGA